rnacentral:rRNA from 1 species
UACGUAGGGAGCGAGCGUUGUCCGGAAUUAUUGGGCGUAAAGCGCGUGUAGGCGGCUCGAUAAGUCUGCUGUGAAAGUCCAGGGCUCAACCCUGGAAUGGCGGUGGAUACUGUCGAGCUCGAGUCCGGAAGAGGCGAGUGGAAUUCCUGGUGUAGCGGUGAAAUGCGCAGAUAUCAGGAGGAACACCGAUGGCGAAGGCAGCUCGCUGGGCCGUGACUGACGCUGAGACGCGAAAGCGUGGGGAGCAAACAGG